rnacentral:rRNA from 1 species
AUUGAACGCUGGCGGCAUGCUUUACACAUGCAAGUCGAAUGUGCCGCAAGGUGCAUGGCAGACGGGUGAGUAACGCGUGGGGAACCUACCUCUUCGUGGGGAAUAACGAUCCGAAAGGAUUGGUAAUACCGCAUGAGACCGACGGCUGGGAUGCUGUCGGUGAAAGCUGGGGGACCGGAAACGGCCUGGCGCGAGGAGAGGGUCCUGCGUCUGAUUAGCUAGUUGGUGGGGUAACGCCUACCAAGGCAUCGAUCAGUAGCCGGCCUGAGAGGGUGAUCGGCCACACUGGAACUGAGACACGGUCCAGACUCCUACGGGAGGCAGCAGUGGGGAAUUUUGCGCAAUGGACGAAAGUCUGACGCAGCAACGCCGCGUGGGUGAUGAAGGUCUUCGGAUUGU